GACGAACGCUGGCGGCGUGCCUAACACAUGCCAGUCGAACGGAAAGGCCCUGCUUUUGUGGGGUGCUCGAGUGGCGAACGGGUGAGUAACACGUGAGUAACCUGCCCUUGACUUUGGGAUAACUUCAGGAAACUGGGGCUAAUACCGGAUAGGAGCUCCUGCUGCAUGGUGGGGGUUGGAAAGUUUCGGCGGUUGGGGAUGGACUCGCGGCUUAUCCGCUUGUUGGUGGGGUAGUGGCUUACCAAGGCUUUGACGGGUAGCCGGCCUGAGAGGGUGACCGGCCACAUUGGGACUGAGAUACGGCCCAGACUCCUACGGGAGGCAGCAGUGGGGAAUAUUGCACAAUGGGCGGAAGCCUGAUGCAGCAACGCCGCGUGCGGGAUGACGGCCUUCGGGUUGUAAACCGCUUUCGCCUGUGACGAAGCGUGAGUGACGGUAAUGGGUAAAGAAGCACCGGCUAACUACGUG
rnacentral:rRNA from 1 species